rnacentral:rRNA from 1 species
UGGGGAAUAUUGCACAAUGGGCGCAAGCCUGAUGCAGCCAUGCCGCGUGUAUGAAGAAGGCUUUCGGGUUGUAAAGUACUUUCAGUCGGGAGGAAGGUGGUAAGGUUAAUAACCUUAUCAAUUGACGUUACCGACAGAAGAAGCACCGGCUAACUCCGUGCCAGCAGCCGCGGUAAUACGGAGGGUGCAAGCGUUAAUCGGAAUUACUGGGCGUAAAGCGCACGCAGGCGGUUGAUUGAGUCAGAUGUGAAAUCCCCGGGCUUAACCCGGGAAUUGCAUCUGAUACUGGUCAGCUAGAGUCUUGUAGAGGGGGGUAGAAUUCCAUGUGUAGCGGUGAAAUGCGUAGAGAUGUGGAGGAAUACCGGUGGCGAAGGCGGCCCCCUGGACAAAGACUGACGCUCAGGUGCGAAAGCGUGGGGAGCAAACAGG